AUGCGGUAUGACGGUACCCUUUCGAAUAAGAGGUUGCUAACUCUGUGCCAGCAGCAGCGGUAAUACAGAGACCUCGAGCGUUAUCCGGAUUUACUGGGCGUAAAGCGUCUGUAGGGGGUUUGUUAAGUUCCAAGUAAAAUCUUAAGGCUCAACUUUAAGUUCGCUUGGAAAACUAAUAAACUGGAGUCCAGCAGAGGUGCAUGGAACUUGCGGUGUAGGAGUGAAAUCCGUUGAUAUCGCAAGGAACACCAAAGGCGAAGGCAUUGCACUGGGCUGGUACUGACCCUGAGAGACGAAAGCGUGGGGAGCAAAACGGAUUAGAUACCCGUGUAGUCCACGCCGUAAACGAUGGAUACUAGAUGUUCGGGGAUUCGACCCCCUGGGUGUCACAGCUAACGCGUUAAGUAUCCCGCCUGGGAAGUACGGCCGCAAGGCUAAAACUCAAAGGAAUAGACGGGGAUCCGCACAAGCGGUGGAGCGUCUGGUUUAAUUUGAUAGUAAGCAAUGGACCUCACCAAGGUUUGACAUCCUAUGACAACCCUGGAAACAGGGCUUCCUUCGGGCAUAGUGACAGGUGCUGCAUGGUCGUCGUCAGUUCGUGCCGUGAGGUGUUCCGUUAAGUCGGGAAACGAACGAAACCCUCGUCGCAUGUUACAAAUUUCAUGCGAGACUGCCCGGGUCAACCGGGAGGAAGGCGGGGAUGACGUCAGAUCAGCAUGGCCCUUAUACCUUGGGCUACACAGGCGCUACAAUGGCCGGUACAAAGGGUUGCAAAACCGCGAGGUGAAGCUAAUCCCAUAAAGCCGGUCCAAGUUCGGAUUGGAGGCUGCAACUCGCCUCCAUGAAGUUGGAAUCGCUAGUAAUCGUGGCUCAGCCAUACCACGGUGAUACGUUCCCGGAUCUUGUACUCACCGCCCGUCACACCAAGAGAGUUGG
rnacentral:rRNA from 1 species